GUUGACUGUUCCAGAUCAAAUAAAUUUGGAAGAGGAAGAAGCGGGGUGAGAGCUGUUGAGGGGCCUUGCUGCCUGCCCCAACACUGGGAGCUCAUUACCUGCCCAGCUGUAAGAAAUCAGACAAUCAGGAGGAUCUGUUACAAAAAGGUUGAGGUUAGGUGAUAUAGCUCCCUAAGAGAUAAUAUGGUAUGAGCGGAUUAGAGGAAAAGCAAGGGUGAUGUGUCCCUUUUUUUUUGUGAUUCUGAAGUGCUGGAGCACCUUGGAUUGGAUCUGCUGUGUUCAGCCCUGUGCUACUGCAGCAGAGAGGCUUUCAGAGCCACCCAACGGUCUAGGCAUGGGGGACAGCCAGGCAGCAUCUCAUGGAGAUGUCUAUAUUGGUAUGGCCUCAUCUGUCUGUAAGCUCCCUUUAAACCAAAGUGGGAUUUCUGGUAUUGUGCUGAAGCCAUGGGUUCCUCCUUUCUUGCUUUGAUAUUUCUUUUCAAAGUACUUGGCUAUGUCAGAAAUGCAGCUAUCAAAGAAUGAGAUAAAGAAUUUAUGGAGAGGGAGAUACUAAUCUGCAUGUUUGAGCAGUCUAGUUGAUUCUCCUUUUGUAUAUCUUCUUGUGCUAUCUUCUUGUAUCUCCUUUGUAAUGGAGCAGACAGUAUUCUUUUUUUUCCAAAGUCAGUCCUUGAAGUACAUAACCAAUAUGUAUUUAGUAUGCUUGAGUAAGGUGACUAAAAGGACUUGUGGGUUUGUUUUUUUUUUUUGUUUUUUUUUUUAGGGGAUAUCUGAAAUAGUUAAGGACUAUAUUAUCCUAUCCUGGUCGUAUGCUUGCUUAUAUUCUGCCUAUGUUUUAACCUGCUGUAUGGGAGUUGCUGGGUCAGGGCCAGAACCAGUGAUUGAGCACCAGGUGAGAAGGUGUGAGUAUUCCAGGGAGCUCAGUGAGUAACCCAGGGAGCACCAGGUGAGAAGGUGUGAGUACCCAGGGAGUAAGCAAUGCACCUGAGUGACUGGAAGAAGCGGAGCCAGGGUCCACCCCUCCUCACCCCCAUUUAAGGGUUAGCAGCUGAGGGAGUAGUAUCUCUAUCUGGAGAUCAUGUCAUUCUUGAGAUUCCCCCAGCCUUGAGAAAUGGUAAGCUGCUUUUUCCUGUGUCACUUUCUAAACUAAAUAGCAACUAAUACCUUUACAAGAGUGCUUCUAUCCUGGUAGUAGGUGUUAUUGUGCCUUCUGUUGCUGUGCACCUGCAUAUGAACAUCAAGCUGCAUCUGGCCAACCUCAUAUCUAGCUUCUGCCUGUCCCUUACUAUUAGGUUCAUAUCUAUCUUCAAGGUUAGAAUUUA
rnacentral:lncRNA from 1 species